GGUUGUGAUGGAUUGUAAUUGGAGUGGAUAAGAUAUGCUAAAAAAAAAGUGUUGGGUUGUGAUGGAGGGACACCCACAAUCCUCAUUGACUCAUUUGCUCUUAAUUUGUAGCAAUAAUUAAACCAGAUAAUGUAGUAAUAAGUGAAAAGAUAAAAAGAAAACAAAAAAGGUGUGGUGUGUGUGGAGAAGAAGUAUAAAGAGUAAGACUAAAGAC
rnacentral:lncRNA from 1 species